UACGGAGGGUGCAAGCGUUAUCCGGAUUCACUGGGUUUAAAGGGUGCGUAGGUGGGCAGGUAAGUCAGUGGUGAAAUCUCCGGGCUUAACCCGGAAACUGCCAUUGAUACUAUCAGUCUUGAAUACCGUGGAGGUAAGCGGAAUAUGUCAUGUAGCGGUGAAAUGCUUAGAUAUGACAUAGAACACCGAUAGCGAAGGCAGCUUGCUACACAAUUAUUGACACUGAGGCUCGAAAGCGUGGGGAUCAAACAGG
rnacentral:rRNA from 1 species